rnacentral:misc_RNA from 1 species
AGAGGCAGAGCCCAUGGCGCACUCCCCUCUCAGUAGUCCUAGGAGAUACCUGCAGCCUCCUACCACUUUCAAUCCACAGGUUCCCAUGGUUCCUUUACCAGGACCUUCUGAAAUGAUGCAUGUCCACAAUAAUGCUUUGGCACAUUAUGUAACAGAUUCCAGGGAUGCAUUCAGUGAGAAACUGAAUGCUGUGAUAAUAACAUGGAGUUAUGGUGGCAGGCAAAUAGCUGUCACUGGAUCAUGGGAUA